UACGGAGGGUGCGAGCGUUGUCCGGAAUCACUGGGCGUAAAGGGCGCGUAGGCGGCAGGCCAAGCGUGCGGUGAAAGUCCGGGGCUCAACCCCGGAUCGGCCGUGCGGACUGGUUUGCUGGAGCACUGUAGAGGCGAGUGGAAUUCCGGGUGUAGCGGUGGAAUGCGUAGAGAUCCGGAAGAACACCGGUGGCGAAGGCGGCUCGCUGGGCAGUGGCUGACGCUGAGGCGCGACAGCGUGGGGAGCGAACAGG
rnacentral:rRNA from 1 species